AAGCUAAGGCUCAGAUCACUGUGGAUAUGUCCAAAUCCUCCAUGAGAUACAUCUUAGAGAAGGCUUUCCACCUGUGCACAGUGGAACACUUACAGUAUCCUCCUAACUUCUUUUCCUGACUCUGGGCUCUCUUUCUCCAGUUAGCCAAUGGGUAAUAGGUUAACCCUUUCCAACAUGACUAACCUCUUUAAUGAAAUGAAGGUGAUGAAGAUGAGGAGGAAGAUCAUUGUGAUAACGAUAAAAAUAUCAAGGCACAGAGAACGUAAGAAAUGUACCCUAGGUAACAUGGGUAAUAAUGGAGGAAGAAAGGAAGAGGAAGAAAACAGCAAUUAAUGAACAUAGACAAUGUGCCAGGAACAGUGACAUCAACCCUUAAAUAUAUUAGCUGGUUUAAUCUCCUGGACUCUGACCCCAAGUAUAGAGCCAGUUCCCUGUUCUUUACCAUCACACUGUACUGGUUCCUUGUAAAACAGCAAGAACAACAAAAUGUUGGUGGAGAGGCAAUGAAUUCAUGUUUUUGAGGAUCUAUUGUGUAUUAGAGCACAAGCCCCCAUAUUUAAUUCUAAUCACUAAAAUGUGAAGUGAGAAGAAGUUUUGAUGUGAGACUUUAGACAGUUGGGAAACAAAAUGGGCUACAUAAAUGGGAGAAGUGGAAGACCCUGAAAAUAUCCAUGUUUCAGUUGAAUUUGAAUUAACAAAAAAUGAAACUCUUAACCAGGAAUCAGCAAAAAGUUUAUGUAAGGGGCUAGAUAAUAAAUAUUUUAAGCUUUGGGAAAAUAUACUCUCUGUCACAACUUUCCACCUCUGCUGUUGUAGCAUGAAAAUGGCCAGAGAUGAUACAUAAGUGAAAGGGUUUGGCUGAAUACUAAUAAAACUUUAUUUACACAACAGCUAGUGGGCCAGAUUUGGCCCAAAGCCCAUAGUUCUCAGACCCUUGUUCGUAAUCUUCAGGUAAUAAAAAGAACACAA
ensembl:lncRNA novel transcript